rnacentral:rRNA from 1 species
ACCUGAGUGGGUGAUCGGCCACACAGGGACCGACACACGGCCCAACUCCUACGGAGGCAGCAUUGGGAAUCUCGGCAUGGGGGCACCCUCACGAGCAACGCCCGGAGUGAAGAACGUUUUCGGAUCGUACAGCUCUUAGUAAGAGAAAAAAGUGCGUGAGAGUGGAAAGUUCACACAGUGACAGUAACUUACCAGAAUGGGACAGCAAAAUACGUGCCACCAGCCGCGGUAAUACUUAGGUCCCGAGCGUUGUCCGGAUUUAUUGGGCGUAAAGCGGGCGCAGGCCGUUUAAUAAGUCUGAAGUUAAAGGCAGUGGCUUAACCAUUGUUCGCUUUGGAGACUGUUAGACUUGAGUGCACAAUGGGAGAGUGGAAUUCCAUGUGUAGCGGUAAACUGCGUAGAUAUCUUGAAGAACACCGGUAGCUAAUGCGGCUCUCUCGUCUGUAACUGACGCUCAGGCUCGGUGCGUGACGGAGCAGACAGGAUAGAUACCCGGGUACUCCACGCCUAUACCAUUAGAGCUCUGUGUUAGGCCCUUCUCCUGGGCUCAGUGCCACACUGACGCAUAUGCACUCCGCCAGGGAGUACGACCGCCAUGCG